AGAAAAUGCAGAGGAAACGACGCCGUGGGAACAAGAUAUGUGCAUAAAUGAUGUUGGGCGGCUUGAUGAUAUCCUAAGCUCUCUCAACUUUUCAGACAUCGGUUCUGAGAAUCCCUUAUCUCCCACUGGCUUUGGAGCAAUUGAAACGUUAUCAGAGGCCUCAUUGUUGACCAAUAGAAAUCAAGAACAG